AUUCGCCCUUAGAGUUUGAUCCUGGCUCAGGAUGAACGCUGGCGGCGUGCCUAACACAUGCAAGUCGAACGGGGUAUAUAAGCGGAAGUUUACGGAUGGAAGGUUAUAUACUUAGUGGCGGACGGGUGAGUAACGCGUGGGCAACCUGCCCCGUGCCGGGGGAUACCGCCUGGAAACAGGCGCUAAUACCGCAUAAGCGCAUACAGCCGCAUGGGUGUAUGCGGAAAGCUCCGGCGGCACGGGAUGGGCCCGCGCCUGAUUAGCCAGUUGGCGGGGUAACGGCCCACCAAAGCGACGAUCGGUAGCCGGCCUGAGAGGGCGGACGGCCACAUUGGGACUGAGACACGGCCCAAACUCCUACGGGAGGCAGCAGUGGGGAAUAUUGCACAAUGGGGGAAACCCUGAUGCAGCAACGCCGCGUGGGUGAAGGAGCGUUUCGGCGCGUAAAGCCCUGUCAGCGGGGAAGAAGAAAGACGGUACCCGACCAAGAAGCCCCGGCUAACUACGUGCCAGCAGCCGCGGUAAUACGUAGGGGGCGAGCGUUAUCCGGAAUUACUGGGUGUAAAGGGAGCGUAGACGGCGAUGCAAGCCAGAUGUGAAAGCCCGCGGCUCAACUGCGGUAGUGCAUUUGGAACUGUAUGGCUGGAAUGCAGGAAAGGCAAGCGGAAUUCCUAGUG
rnacentral:rRNA from 1 species